AAGGUAGCAUAAUCAUUAGUCUUUUAAUUGGAGGCUUGUAUGAAUGGUUGGAUGAGGUAUUAACUGUCUCAAUUUAAUAAAUAAUAGAAUUUUAUUUUUAAGUUAAAAAGCUUAAAUAUUAUUAAAAGACGAGAAGACCCUAUAGAUCUUUAUAAUUAGAUUUAUAAUAAUUUUUUGGAUUAAAUUUAUUUUUAUAGAAAUAAUUAUUAUAUUGGGGUGAUAAAAAAAUUUGUUAAACUUUUUUUUAAUAUAAACAAUAAUAUUUGAUUAGUUGAUCCAUUUUUUGUGAUUAUAAGAUUAAGUUACCUUAGGGAUAACAGCGUAAUUUUUUUGGAGAGUUCUUAUCGAUAAAAAAGAUUGCGACCUCGAUGUUGAAUUAAAGGUUAAUUUUAGGUGUAGAAGUUUAAAAUUUUGGUCUGUUCGACCAUUAAAUC
rnacentral:rRNA from 1 species